GGAUUAGAUACCCUGGUAGUCCUAGCUGUAAACGAUGGAUACUAGACGUAGGAACUGGAUUGACGGUUUCUGUGUCGUAGCUAACGCGUUAAGCACACCGCCUGGGGAGUACGGUCGCAAGAUUAAAACUCAAAGGAAUUGACGGGGGCCCGCACAAGCGGUGGAGCAUGUGGUUUAAUUCGACGCAACGCGCAGAACCUUACCAGCCCUUGACAUGGGGAUCGCGAGGAGUGGAGACACACCUCUUCAGUUCGGCUGGAUCCCACACAGGUGCUGCAUGGCUGUCGUCAGCUCGUGCCG
rnacentral:rRNA from 1 species